rnacentral:rRNA from 1 species
GACGAACGCUGGCGGCGUGCUUAACACAUGCAAGUCGAACGGUAAGGCCCUGCUUUUGUGGGGUUCUCGAGUGGCGAACGGGUGAGUAUCACGCGAGUAACCUGUCCUUGACUUUGGGAUAACUUCAGGAAACUGGGGCGAAUACCGGAUAUGAGCUCUUGCUGCAUGGUGUGGGUGGGAAAGUUUCGGCGGUUGGGGAUGGACUCGCGGCCUAUCAGCUUGUUGGUGAGGUAGUGGGUUACCACGGCUUUGACGGGUAGCCGGCCUGGGAGGGUGACCGGCCACAAUGGGACUGGGGUGCGGGCCGGACUCAUACGGGAGGCAGCAGUGGGAAAUAUUGCAAGAUAGGCGGAAGCAUGAUGGAGCGACGCCGGGUGCGGGAUGACGGCCUGCGGAUUGUAAACCGCUUUCGCCUGUAACGAUGAGCGAGUGACGGUAAUGACUAAAGAAGCGACGGCUAACUACGUG